rnacentral:misc_RNA from 1 species
UCAGAUAACUCAUAGCUAAUGGUUGCUACACUAUCUAACACCGGACGGAUUCGAGGUGUUACAUUUACCACAAGUUGUUCCAUGCCGGCAUUCAGGGCUUGCUUGAAGGUAUUGCUCAUAUCACCCAAGUCUGACAAGCAAGAUUUUGCCUUUUCUCUAUCUGCUGGUGCAGGAAACACCUCUGCGCACUGCUCUUCAAUCUCAUGUUUUAGCUUCACUACAUACUCACUGCUCACAUCCAUGUUAUUCAAUGCAGUUGCAAUCUCUGUCCCAGUCCUGUGAACACCAACACCACCCAAAAACAGCUUCAAGGUUUGGUUCUCUCAUUUUCUGUUGCAAAGCUUCAUUGUAUUCAUUACUCAACAAACUACUAGCACCACUCAAGACUGCAAUUACAGAGCUAAUGUUUGAUGUGGAUAUUGCCCUUCUGAAGCAACUCUGCAAAACAUAAAACACAUCGUCUACCAUAGAAGUGGUAAGGCUAUCAGGUACAUGCUCAUCUAUCAUAAUUGCCUUUCUUACAUUUUCAAUCAUGAAGAAUCCCUCCAAAAUCACAUAAAACCCAGUAAUAUCUUGAAUUACUUUGCUAAAAGUCCCACUCCUAAACGACUUGGUGGCUCGUGGCACUAAUUCAGGAUCAACAGAACUCAACCCUUUGAUUUUUGAAACCAUAAAUUCUGUGUAAUCCUCACCUAAUUGCAUCAGUGACAGUAUUUCUUCUAAAUACAACUCAACCUCUCUCGGGUCAGGCCCUUCAGGAGCUCCAAC